GGCUUGUUGGUCUAGAGGUAUGAUUCUCGCUUUGGGUGCGAGAGGUCCCGGGUUCAAAUCCUGGACGAGCCC
rnacentral:tRNA from 1 species